rnacentral:rRNA from 1 species
UACGGAGGGUGCAAGCGUUAUCCGGAAUCACUGGGCGUAAAGGGCGCGUAGGCGGUCUGUUAAGUCUGGCGUUAAAGCCUGGGGCUCAACCCCAGAUCAGCGUUGGAUACUGGCAGGCUAGACGGUUGGAGAGGCGAGUGGAAUUACCAGUGUAGCGGUGGAAUGCGUAGAUACUGGUAGGAACACCCAUUGCGAAGGCAGCUCGCUGGACAACACGUGACGCUGAGGCGCGAAAGUGUGGGGAGCAAACCGGAUUAGAUACCCCGGUAGU